AUGCAUGAUCAAAACCUGAGUAUUCUGAACUGGAAUGUUCAUGGAUUGAAUUGUCCCAAUCGCCGCUCAACCAUCCAAGAGACCAUCACCGCCACGCCUUGCCAUUUAGUCUAUUUGCAGGAGACCAAGCUUGAGCAGAUUGAUUCCUUCAUGGCUUCCUCUCUCGAUGGUCAAAGGCUCAAAAACUUUGCGCAUCAACCUGCCAUUGGUACUCAUGGUGGUAUUCUGUUACUGUGGGAUGAGGACCUUGUUGAGGUUAAGGACAUUAGCACUGGAUCUUUUUUCCUGUCUGCCACAGUCACCAUUACCUGUAACAACACUUCUUUCAAGUUCACAACCGUCUACGGGCCAACCCGAAGCAACCUCAAAGACUCUUUUUUCCAGGAGCUGAUCAGUGAGAAGCCAGCCCCUGGUACUAGAUGGCUGCUUGCCGGUGACUUUAAUCAAAUUUAUCGGGCCAGCGACAAAAACAGAGCUAACAGUAACCGAAGCCGCAUGACACGCUUUCGCAACACCCUCAAUACUUGUCAGCUCAAAGAAAUACACUUGCAGAACAGGAAAUUCACGUGGAGUAAUGAGCAAAGCGCCCCAACACUAAGCAAACUGGACUCUUUUUUCUGCAAUGAAGAGUGGGACAUCGACUUUGACAAUCAUUUGUUGCAUUCCCUCUCCUCAUCCCUCACUGACCACUGCCCUCUCCUACAUGCUAAUGACCAAGGGCCGCCAAAGACAAAGUGUUUCCACUUUGAGAAAUUUUUGAUCAAAAUGCAUGGCUUCAAGGAGAUCGUGCAGGGUGCUUGGAACCAAAAUGUGAACCAUGUAGACCCUUUCCAUAUCUUAUUUCACAAGUUGAAGAAGACCAGCCAAGCCCUCAGAAAAUGGAGCAAGACAAUUUUUGCACACUCCAAGGUGCAACUACACAUGGCUUUGGAGGUCAUCCUUCGCCUGGAUGUGGCACAAGAGCUCAGGCCUCUCAGUGUAGAGGAACGUGAUAUUUGUACGAGGCUCAAGAGGAAGGUUGUCGCCCUGGCUGUCAUGGAACGUGCUCGAAAGAGGCAAAAUUUGAGAAUCACCAUCUCAAAGAUGGUGACGCAAACACCCGCUUCUUUCACUUGCGCGUCAACCACAGAAGAAGAAAGAACUUCAUCCACCGUCUGA
rnacentral:rRNA from 1 species